GGAAGUUUUGGAAAGCCCCACAGUUUAAUUUGUUUUUAUUUGUUUGCAAUGCGCACUUUUAUCCCCUUGCUUCAAACCACCACCUCAGUUUUUUUCAUCAUAAUUAUUGGCCUGCCUUUUUUUCAGCGCCGUCUUAUUAUCAGCCCUGAUUUGGCUCAAGUGUGUGGUUGUGAGAUCAUCAUCUAGAAAUCCUUUUUAAAAGUUCAGAUAUUGGACUUCAAAGAGUGCUACAGAGAGUCAGCGUUUCAAGAUCAGACAGUUGGUGUCUGAUAGGUGAG